GGUGGGGCGCGGGCGGGCUGGGGUGGCUGUCAGACAGUUCGGCCGCAAGGCGUUGUUGCUGUGGUCCUAUUUCCAGCUGGGGGUCCUGGGCACCUGCACGGCCUUCGCCCCCAAUUACGGCUCGUACUGCGCCUUCAGAUUCGGGGGGGGGAUGGCGCUGUCCGGGUUCGGGCUCAGCAUCGCGUGUCUGGUGGUGGAGUGGAUCCCCACCCCGUACCGCGCCAUCACGGUGGCCAUCACGGGCUUCUCCUACACGCUGGGUCAGAUCCUGUUGGCCGCCAUCGCUUACGCCGUCCCCCAUUGGAGGUGGCUGCAGCUCAGCGUCUCCCUGCCGUUCUUUGGCUUCUUCCUCUUCUCAUGGUAAAUAGG